rnacentral:rRNA from 1 species
UACGUAGGGUGCGAGCGUUGUCCGGAAUUAUUGGGCGUAAAGAGCUCGUAGGCGGUGUGUCGCGUCGGCCGUGAAAACCUGGGGCUUAACUCUGGGCGUGCGGUCGAUACGGGCAUCACUAGAGUUCGGCAGGGGAGAUUGGAAUUCCUGGUGUAGCGGUGAAAUGCGCAGAUAUCAGGAGGAACACCGGUGGCGAAGGCGGGUCUCUGGGCCGAUACUGACGCUGAGGAGCGAAAGCAUAGGUAGCGAACAGG